rnacentral:rRNA from 1 species
AGGGUUUGAUCAUGGCUCAGAUUGAACGCUGGCGGCAGGCCUAACACAUGCAAGUCGAGCGGUAACAUUUCUAGCUUGCUAGAAGAUGACGAGCGGCGGACGGGUGAGUAACGCGUAGAAAUCUGCCUGGUAGUGGGGGAUAGCCCAGAGAAAUUUGGAUUAAUACCGCAUACGCCCUACGGGGGAAAGCAGGGGCUCUUCGGACCUUGCGCUAUCAGAUGAGUCUGCGUCGGAUUAGCUUGUUGGUGAGGUAAUGGCUCACCAAGGCGACGAUCCGUAGCUGGUCUGAGAGGAUGAUCAGCCACACUGGAACUGAGACACGGUCCAGACUCCUACGGGAGGCAGCAGUGGGGAAUAUUGCACAAUGGGCGCAAGCCUGAUGCAGCCAUGCCGCGUGUAUGAAGAAGGCCUUCGGGUUGUAAAGUACUUUUGUCAGGGAAGAAAAGCCAACGGAUAAUACCUGUUGGUCAUGACGGUACCUGAAGAAUAAGCACCGGCUAACUACGUGCCAGCCGCCGCGGUAAUAC